rnacentral:rRNA from 1 species
ACCUAUUUGUUGCCUCGGCGGUGCCUGUUCCGACAGCCCGCCAGAGGACCCCAAACCCUGAUUACAUUUAAGAAGUCUUCUGAGUAAACCGAUUAAAUAAAUCAAAACUUUCAACAACGGAUCUCUUGGUUCUGGCAUCGAUGAAGAACGCAGCGAAAUGCGAUAAGUAAUGUGAAUUGCAGAAUUCAGUGAAUCAUCGAAUCUUUGAACGCACAUUGCGCCCGCUAGUAUUCUGGCGGGCAUGCCUGUCCGAGCGUCAUUUCAACCCUCAAGCCCCCGGGCUUGGUGUUGGGGAUCGGCGAGCCUCCGCGCCCGCCGUCCCCUAAAUCUAGUGGCGGUCUCGCUGUAGCUUCCUCUGCGUAGUAGCACACCUCGCACUGGGAAACAGCGCGGCCACGCCGUUAAACCCCCAACUUCUGAACGUUUGACCUCGGAUCAGGUAGGAAUACCCGCUGAACUUAAGCAUAUCAAUAAG